ACAGAUACCUGACAGGGGAGACACCAUGAUCAUGUUGGUGGUUUUCGCGGGGUGGGAAACUCGACUGUAGAAUUUGUGGUAGUGGGUGAGUAUGUUCAUGCCCUCCCA
rnacentral:snRNA from 1 species